ensembl:misc_RNA Y_RNA Y RNA
GGCUAGUCCGAUGGCAGUGGGUUAUAAGAACUUACUAGCAUUAGUGUCACUAAAGUUGAGAUACAGAGCCCCCCCCCACACACUGCUAAAUUUGACUGGCUUUAA